UAUGUGAUAAUUUGGUUAUGUUUAUGUUUAUAAUGCUACUUUUUUUGUUUUGAUCGUGGCCAUUUGUAAAAUUCGUGUUCAAUAGUAUUCAGGAACUAUUCGUAUUCGUAUUCUUUCGCGCGAGUCACCUGUGAUUCAGACUAGACGCGUGGGGAGGGAGGUUUCAAAAAUCAGUGGGCAGAAACGACCUUUGUUGUGCGCGGGUGGUGAUUAUAAUUAUGAAUCAGAAUUUUGGAGGGGGUAGACAACCCACGGGGACUCCAUCGUUUGCGCGGUCGUGCUUGGUUGUCGUCGUCUCGCUCCUUGCUGGCGCAUCCGUUGUGCACAACACAUAUAACCCUGAAAUCUACUGUGUGCAGACGUUGCCUCCAGGCUCCAGCGGAGAGUAUUGAUGGGACUAAGCUGAAACAAUCUGAGAAAGAAUGAAAUAUGUUCGAACCGAAAUUUUAUUCAGGUCAGACUGAUCAAUAUAUGAGAUAUGUGGCCUAGCUUUGAAGCCAAAUCCAGUUUCAGCAUUUGAACAUUUUUGCUUCUCCACAUCUUUGCAAACUUGGUUCAUGGAGCAAGCCCAACAAUAGAGGUGAUGCCUAAGGGUUCGAGCGAAAGACCCACGCUUAGAAGACCUGUGCUUUGAAGACUUGGUGUUCGGAAUACCCAUGUUUAAAAGACCCACGCUCGGAAACCCACUGCUCAGAUUCCUAGUGUACGGAAGAUCCAGUUAAGUUUUCCGCUCCAUUUAUCUUGCUUCAGUCCGGUAGUCCUGUCUCGGUGUUCCAGUAAUCUUGUCUGUUGGACUGGUGGUUCAUGUAGCUUGCGGUUUCGGAGUUUUCUACUUUAAACCUUUUGUUCUCUGCAAGCCAAUGAAUCUGGAUUUGCUUCAGAUGUUGAUAGGCAAUUUGACCGAUCUCUCAGCUGGAAGGUGAGAUGGUUGCCUUUGUAUGUUUUUGCCCCUUAAUUAAUUGGGUGUUGAAGCUCUCUUGGUAAA